rnacentral:rRNA from 1 species
UACGUAGGGUGCGAGCGUUAAUCGGAAUUACUGGGCGUAAAGCGUGCGCAGGCGGUUUGUUAAGAUAGAUGUGAAAUCCCCGGGCUUAACCUGGGAACUGCAUUUGUGACUGGCAAGCUAGAGUAUGGCAGAGGGGGUAGAAUUCCACGGUGUAGCAGUGAAAUGCGUAGAGAUGUGGAGGAAUACCGAUGGCGAAGGCAGCCCCCUGGGCCAAUACUGACGCUCAUGCACCGAAAGCGUGGGGAGCAAACAGG